ACAAGGCAGCUACCUGGCAAAUAAAUAGCGGAGCUCGGAGUGGUCACCUACAAGUGAAUUCCCUCACUCGUGUCUCACACGGUAGAACAGCCCACAGCAGCCUCGACAUGAAGCUGGCGCUGCUCCUCAUGCUGGCCACCCUCCCCUUUUGCUGCUAUGCAGGUGCUGGCUGCCAGCUUCUGGAGGAUGCUUGAUAGAAAAGGACGAUCAGCCCUAAUGUGACUGUGGCUGAAUACACAGAGUUUCUCCAACCUUUCAUAAGUAUCAAGUCCACUAAAGAAGCUGUGAAGAAGUUCAAAGAGUGUUUUCUCAUGCAGUCAGAUGAAACACUGGCCAACGUCCAACUGCUGAUGAACGUAAUAUAUAGUAGCAGUUACUGUGCGCCAUACUAACUUUCCCCCAAGAUCUUUGGCUCCGAGGACUACAGAGCAUGAUAAGAAAUGGAACGCCCAUGUUGCAAAGCAUAACCUUCCUCCCUUCCUUUUUCCUUCUACCUAUACAUAGCAAGACAAUUGUUGAAGCCUUAUAUACAUUUUCAUUUCAAUAAACUAUCAGCAAAU
rnacentral:lncRNA from 1 species